UACGAAGGGCCCGAGCGUUAUCCGGAUUUAUUGGGUUUAAAGGGUGCGUAGGCGGGUUAUUAAGUCAGGGGUGAAAGCCUUCAGCUUAACUGAAGAAUUGCCAUUGAUACUGAUGAUCUUGAGUAUGAUUGAGGUGGGCGGAAUGUGUCAUGUAGCGGUGAAAUGCUUAGAUAUGACACAGAACACCGAUUGCGAAGGCAGCUCACUAAGCCAUAACUGACGCUGAUGCACGAAAGCGUGGGGAGCAAACAGG
rnacentral:rRNA from 1 species